CAAGAACUCUCCUCACGACUUAGGCAUAGUUGUGUCAAUGAGCACUAUAAGGAGAAGACUACACCAGCAUAACUUUUGUUUUUACCAAAAGUCUCCCACCACUAGUAAGACUCAAGAACAGAACAGCCAGGGUACAGUUUGGACAUGGACAGAAGAGAUAUUGAACAUGUACCUGAGUGAUGAAAAUAGGAAAGCUUUGCCUCUUAUUGGUUGAGCCCUGACCUUUACCCUCUCUGUGAAACAGAAAGUCAAGCAGGCCCAGAUGAUGUGGAGGAGGAAGAUCACACAGAGGAGGUCAACGACAGCCCCUACUACUGCCCGGAUAAGCCGGAAGAGGCUGGGGUGGCUGUGCGCCUCCUUCCAGGUGACCUCCAGUGGCAGGACUCUGACUCCAGCUCCCGGUCCAGCAGCCCAGAGCCUCUGGCACAACGCAGACCCGGACCACUGUCCCUGUUGGCUCGCAAGAUGGCGUCCGAGGGAGUGUUGGAGAAGAGAGGCGAGCGGGCUUUAGACAACCAGAUAGAUCCUGUUGAGGUUUCUAGAUUAGAAGAAAGAGGUUUGGGGGAAAGCAGCAGCAAAAAAGUAUCAAUGCCAGUGAAACAAGACAUCAUUAGGCUGAAACAUGAGAAAAAAUCUAUUAGAGACAUAGCCAAAACACUAGGUUUGUCAAAAUCAACUGUUUGGAACAUUGUUAAGAAGCAAGAACGUACUGGUGAACUUGGCGAUCGCAAACGACCUGGUAGACCACAGAAGACCACAUUAGUGGAUGACCAACAAAUGCUUGCAAUUGUGAAGAAAAACCCCUUUUCAACUGUUGAACAGAUCAAAAACUCUCUUGAGGACUUAGGCAUAGUUGUGUCAACAAGCACUAUAAGGAGAAGACUUCACCAGCAUAACUUUUGUGUUUACCACAAGACACCCACCACUAGUAAGACUCAACAACAGAACAGCCAGGGUACAGUUUGCGUAUGGACAGAUGAGAUGGUGAACAUGUACCUGAGUGAUGAAAAUAGUAAAGCCGGCCCAGAUGAUGUGGCGGAGGAAAAUCUCAUAGAGGAAGUCAACGACAGCCCCUACUACUGCCCGGAUAAGAAUCCCCAUUCCCUGUCGGUGCGAGUACUGGAGGAUGUUGAGCACCAAGGCCUGGCCCCUUCCAUCCCCCCCCACUCCCAGGAGAAGGAAGACACCGCCCUAGCGGAUGACAACCAGCCUACUCACUCCAUGCUUCACCUCAGUCACCAGCCAUCCAGAGACUCUGCCGCCAACCGCCUCCAUGGUGACAAUGACAACAGCGAGGUGAACGAAGAGGAGUGGGGACCAGCGGCAGGUGCCAGGAGAGGGGGCAGUGCCCCCCAGCCCCAACAGCCUUCCCCCAGUGUCCAUGUCCUGUCCGACAUGGAUGAGGAGCAGGAAGAGGCUGGUGUGGCCGUCCGCCUCCUUCCAGGUGGUCUCCAGAGGCAGGACUGUGAGUCCAGCUCCCGUUCCAGCAGCCCAGAGCCCCAGGCGCACAAGAGGUCCAAGGGAGUGUUGGGGAAGAGACGCAAGGGGGCCUCUGACAGCCAGACAGAUCCUGUCGACGUCUCGAGACCAGAAAAAUCAGGAGAUGGAGACAGCAACUGCAAAACAGUUUCCAUGCCCUUAAAGCAGGACAUUAUUAGGCUAAAACAUGAGAAUAAAUCAAUUAGAGACAUAGCCAAAACAUUAGGUUUGUCAAAAUCUACUGUUUGGUAUAUUGUUAAGAAGCAAGAACGUACUGGUGAACUCAGCAACCGCAAACGACCUGGUAGACCACAGAAGACCACAUUAGUGGAUGACCAACAAAUGCUUGCAAUUGUGAAGAAAAACCCUUUUUCAACUGUUGAACAGAUCAAAAACUCUCUUCAGGACUUAGGCAUAGUUGUGUCAAAGAGUACCAUCAGGAGAAGACUACACCAGCAUAACCUUUGGGUUUAG
ensembl:lncRNA